CAAAGAAAUACACAGAGGCCAGGCUGCUGAGGGUCUUGUGAGCCAGGGCAAGGAGUCUGAAUUAUGUUUUCAGAGUCUGGGCUACAUGUUGACCCGCUCCCUAUGGCAGUGACUUCUAUCCUUGGCUAAGAGCAUAAAAGUGUCCACGGAUCAGAAAGCUUGAGAACUACUAAAUUAGAUCAAAGUAAAAUAAAGCCUCUUGCGGGAAACAAGAAACUUUUUGAGUAGGCUUUUGGGUAAGCAGGAUGGAAUGUACUGACGAGAAGAAAGAAAUGACAAGAAGAAAGAAGAGUCAACCUGCUUCUAAAACAAAUAAACACACCAUGAGAAGGAAUGUCAGGGUCUAAA